rnacentral:rRNA from 1 species
UACGUGGGGUCCAAGCGUUGUCCGGAUUUAUUGGGCGUAAAGAGCUCGUAGGCGGCUCGGUAAGUCGGAUGUGAAAACUCGAGGCUCAACCUCGGGCUUGCAGUGGGUACGGGCAGACUAGAGUGCGGUAGGGGAGACUGGAAUUCCUGGUGUAGCGGUGGAAUGCGCAGAUAUCAGGAGGAACACCAAUGGCGAAGGCAGCUCGCUGGGACGUGACUGACGCUGAGACGCGAAAGCGUGGGGAGCAAACAGG